GGAUUUCUUAAGUUGGAUUAUUUUGGUCUGGAAACUCGUUUUCUGCUGAAUUGGAUCUUGAAGUUGAAUAUAUGAGGAUGUUUUGCAUUCGGAUUCUCGCUUCGGUUUCCUCAAUUCCGCAUUGUUUGGUGAAGAACCUGAUUAGUUAGACUUACUGUCUGAUUGACGAGUU